UAAGACGAACCGUGCGAACGUUAUUCGGAAUCACUGGGCUUAAAGGGCGCGUAGGCGGGCCGAAAAGUCAGGGGUGAAAUCCUCCAGCCCAACUGGAGAAGCGCCUUUGGUACUGUCGGCCUCGAGGGGUGCAGGGGCAUGCGGAACUCAGGGUGGAGCGGUGAAAUGCGUAGAUAUCCUGAGGAACACCGGUGGCGAAAGCGGCGUGCUGGACACCUUCUGACGCUGAGGCGCGAAAGCCAGGGGAGCGAACGGGAUUAGAUACCCCGGUAGUCCUGGCCCUAAACGAUGGGCACUAGGUAGCGGCCUUGCAUGGGGUCGCUGCCGAAGCAAAAGUGUUAAGUGCCCCGCCUGGGGAGUAUGGUCGCAAGGCUG
rnacentral:rRNA from 1 species